rnacentral:rRNA from 1 species
GUCUAUGGCCAUGCUACCCUGACAAGCCCUAUCUAGACUGAUCUCAGAAGCUAAGCAGGGUCAGGCCUGGUUAGUACUUGGAUGGGAGACCACCUAGGAAGACCAGGUGCUGGAGGCG